rnacentral:rRNA from 1 species
UGUAAGCACAUGCCUUAAAACGGUAAAGCCGCGAAUGGCUCGGUAUAACAGCCACUGUUUAUUAAACUCUAGUAAUCUACUUGGAUAACUGUGGCAAUUCUAGAGCUAAUACAUGCACGCAGGCUCGGACCUUUUGGGAAGAGCGCAUUUAUUAGACCAAAACCAAUCGGGCUUCGGCCUGUGUUUUGGUGACUCUGAAUAACUCAGUCGAUCGCACAGUCUUAGUACUGGCGACGUAUUUUUCAAAUGUCUGCCUUAUCAACUUUCGAUGGUAGGUUAUACGCCUACCAUGGUUAUAACGGGUAACGGAGAAUUAGGGUUCGACUCCGGAGAGGGAGCCUGAGAAAUGGCUACCACAUCCAAGGAAGGCAGCAGGCGCGCAAAUUACCCAAUCCCAGAACGGGGAGGUAGUGACGAAAAAUAACGAGGUAAUCCACUUUGUGGCUUGCCAUCGGAAUGGGCA